UACGUAGGGGGCAAGCGUUGUCCGGAUUUAUUGGGCGUAAAGAGCGUGUAGGCGGCUUUACAGGUCCGUUGUGAAAACUCGAGGCUCAACCUCGAGACGCCGGUGGAAACCGUAAGGCUAGAGUCCGGAAGAGGAGAGUGGAAUUCCUGGUGUAGCGGUGAAAUGCGCAGAUAUCAGGAGGAACACCCGUGGCGAAAGCGGCUCUCUGGGACGGUACUGACGCUGAGACGCGAAAGCGUGGGGAGCAAACAGGAUUAGAUACCCUGGUAGUCCACGCCGUAAACGAUGGGUGCUAGGUGUGGGCGGUGUCGACUCCGUCCGUGCCGUAGCUAACGCAUUAAGCACCCCGCCUGGGGAGUACGGCCGCAAGGCUAAA
rnacentral:rRNA from 1 species